AGUGGCGAACGGGUGAGUAAUGCAUCGGAACAUGCCCAUUAGUGGGGGAUAGCCCGGCGAAAGCCGGAUUAAUACCGCAUACGAUCUAUGGAUGAAAGCCGGGGACCGCAAGGCCUGGCGCUAAUGGAGUGGCCGAUGUCAGAUUAGCUAGUUGGUGGGGUAAAGGCUCACCAAGGCAACGAUCUGUAGCUGGUUUGAGAGAACGACCAGCCACACUGGGACUGAGACACGGCCCAGACUCCUACGGGAGGCAGCAGUGGGGAAUUUUGGACAAUGGGCGCAAGCCUGAUCCAGCAAUGCCGCGUGCAGGAUGAAGGCCUUCGGGUUGUAAACUGCUUUUGUACGGAACGAAACGGCUCUGGUUAAUACCCGGGGCUAAUGACGGUACCGUAAGAAUAAGCACCGGCUAACUACGUGCCAGCAGCCGCGGUAAUACGUAGGGUGCAAGCGUUAAUCGGAAUUACUGGGCGUAAAGCGUGCGCAGGCGGUAAUGUAAGACAGAGGUGAAAUCCCCGGGCUUAACCUGGGAACUGCCUUUGUGACUGCAUUGCUAGAGUACGGUAGAGGGGGGUGGAAUUCCGCGUGUAGCAGUGAAAUGCGUAGAUAUGCGGAGGAACACCGAUGGCGAAGGCAGCCCCCUGGACCUGUACUGACGCUCAUGCACGAAAGCAUGGGGAGCAAACAGGAUUAGAUACCCUGG
rnacentral:rRNA from 1 species